GAUGAACGCUAGCUACAGGCUUAACACAUGCAAGUCGAGGGGCAGCAUGAACUUAGCUUGCUAAGUUUGAUGGCGACCGGCGCACGGGUGAGUAACGCGUAUCCAACCUGCCGAUGACUCGGGGAUAGCCUUUCGAAAGAAAGAUUAAUACCCGAUGGCAUAGUUCUUCCGCAUGGUAGAACUAUUAAGAAUUUCGGUGUACGAUGGGGAUGCGUUCCAUUAGGUAGUAGGCGGGGUAACGGCCCACCUAGCCUUCGAUGGAUAGGGGUUCUGAGAGGAAGGUCCCCCACAUUGGAACUGAGACACGGUCCAAACUCCUACGGGAGGCAGCAGUGAGGAAUAUUGGUCAAUGGACGAGAGUCUGAACCAGCCAAGUAGCGUGAAGGAUGACUGCCCUAUGGGUUGUAAACUUCUUUUAUACGGGAAUAAAGUGAGGUACGUGUGCCUUUUUGUAUGUACCGUAUGAAUAAGGAUCGGCUAACUCCGUG
rnacentral:rRNA from 1 species